GCUGAGGGUGGGGGAGACGCAGAAUCCGAAGCGAGCUCCAGGCUCUGAGCUGUCGGCACAGGCCCCGACGAGGGGCUCAAACCCACCAACCGCGAGAUCAUGACCUGAGCCGAAGUCAGACGCCCAACUGACUGAGCCACCCAGACGCCCCAACUACUGUUGUUUUCAUGUUGAUGUUUGUCAUUAUGGGUGAGGUCGAGAAUCUCUUGAACUUUAGCCAUUCAGGUGUCUUCCUUUCUGUGCGUUGCCUAUUUCUAUCCUCUACCCAUUUUCCUAUUCUUUCAAGGAUUAAUAGGAAUUCCUUUCUCAUCUAAACAUUAAUCCCAUUGAUUUUAAACUUUGAACAGUCUCUCGAUAUGGUAGACACCUGUUAACAACCGUCGACUGUGUCCGUGUUGGAUAGAAAUCUGUGGCCAGACCCAACACUCUCCUACCUUAUAGUCUGUGCUUAUACGGUCUUGUUGCAAAAAAUCUCUUUCCACUUACGGGAAUAUUUUCUCCUACCAGCUCUAAGGAGCCAGCUUUCUUAGCACCGUCUGCUAAACAGUUUAUCUACUCCCCACCUCUGUCAGACGUCUUCCUUGUACACAUCUCUAUUCCUGGACAUUCCUUUCUGUUCUAUGCUUUGUUUCCCUGCUGCUGUGCUGGUGUAUACUCUCCUCUCCUUGCUCUUUGUGUGUGUGUGUGUGUGUGUGUGUGCGCGCGCACACACACGUAAAAUUGACCCACUAUUUGUGAAACUGAAUUAUUUGAUGCAGACUUCAGAUUCCGUUUGUCGAGUUUCCCCCAAACCUCUGCUGGAGCUUUUGGGGGAACAUAUGGAAUGUGUAGAUUCAUUUCAGGGAGAACCGACAGAUUCAUAAUAUCAGAUAAUUCCAUUCAUUCAUGAUUCAUGUCUUCUUCUAUGCCUUUUAUAGAAUUUGAAUGAUUUAUCCAUAAAAUUUCAUGCCUUCCUUUUUAUUUCUGUUCCUAGAAACUUGAGAGAUUCCUGAUGUUACGAAUGGCAUCUCAUGUUCUAUUACAGUCCCUUGUUGCUUAUUGAUAGUGUGAAUUGAAUUUGUAUCUGGCAGCCUUACCGAACUCUUAUUAGUUUAGGAGUCUAUUACGCGGUGGGUUUUCACUGCAUGUCUGACUCUUAUUAGAUGGUACCCUGAAGCCAGAUGAAUGCAUGCUCUUCACACAUUUCAUCACCCAGUCUCCUCAAAGCUUUUCCAUGCUGGCUGACCCUGUAACGGAAAGGUUAGCGAUCGCUGUUUAUUUUUAUUUAAAAUUAAAAAAAAUUUUUUUACAUUUAUUUAUUUUUGAGAGACAGAGAGAGACAGAGCGUGAGUAGGGGAGGGGCAGAGAGAGAGAGAGAGAGACCCAGAAUCCGAAGCAGGCUCCAGGCUCCGAGCUGUCGGCACAGAGCCCGACAGGGGGCUCGAACCCACGAACCGUGAGAUCAUGACCUGAGCCGAGGUCGGAUGCUCAACCGACUGAGCCACCCAGGUGCCCCUUGGCUGUCACUGUUUAGCAUCUACUACACUAGAUACUAUCCUAAGAACUUUCCAUGUGUUGUCAUACUUUAUCUUCCCAACAACCCGAUUUGAUUGUAUUUUUAUCCGUACUUUAUAGAUGAAGAAAUGGAGGUUAGACAGUAAGUUGUCUUGGCUCACACAGCCAGUAGCAGACUGAGCAAGGCCAGCCUCUGACUCUAAGUUUGGGCCUUAGACUAGUUUAUGAUGAGCAAGGUAAAGCCUGUAUUAUUCACCAAUACGCCCUUUUAAUGAAAAAUGGGUUCAGUCUUUAUCAUUUUAUCUGUGCUAUGAUUGUGUUUAUUUAACUCCAAUUUAAUAUGAUCUCUAACAUAAUAAUAAUACCUGCAUUUAUAUUAACUAUAUAAUAAAAACUAAAAAUGGUCUCUAAUGGCAAAUGCAUAAUUGGGGGUUGCUAUUUUGCAUGUCUUGUCUUUUUACUUACUUUUCUGAUCGUUCUUUGAUUGUGUUUUCUAAAGCUAUCAGCUGGUGACAUUUUGGAAAUUUAAAAAAAAAAAAAAAAGAAAAAGAAAUCCAGACUGGUUCUUUACCAUGGAUUGUUUCAGAAGCACUGAUCCUCAGUCCUAUGUCUUGCUGGCUUAAGUACCUGAAGAUGUCAAUAGGAUAGAACCAGAGUUAGGAGCCAGUGUGUAUUUCGGUGCCCUGUUGUCGCGAUUGUUUCAAACAGGUGAUUUGUAUUUCUGAAAAGCUCCAAUUGAACGAGAGCCAUCUUGAGAAAGCCCCUUUCUACCAAGGAAUGCCCGAGAACGAUUCUUUACGCUGUCUCUACCCAGCCCUCUCUGUCGCUUCAGACUCGGCGUCUCCAGUGGAUCUCAGAGGCAAGAAUUUACUGCAGGGAAAUACCAAGCAAUGUCUGAACUUUGAGCCGGGGAAAAGUCUUUUACUGGAGCAGGCGCUGAGAGAACUCACAAGCCAGAGGAGACUGUGCUCGGAGGCCUGCUGCCCGCACCCGUCUUCAGGCUCCAGAACAUUCAGAGUAACAAAGGCAAAGUGAGGAAGCCCAGCCUGCCUGCUGGUGGGGGGGCCAUGGCUCCGCUUCCCUUUUUCUCUUUUCUUUCACACCCCCUCUGAAGAGCGGCAGAGGCUGGGAGAGCCACCGGCUGCACCAGAUCGAGGAGGUCACCAGGGAGGGCCCAUCCCUGGAGCGGAUCAAGCUCAAGAGAGGAGCCUGGGUGAUGGGGACAGGCGGCAACAGCCAGACAGUGAGAGCCGCUGGGCCGAUGAAGGCGGGGCUGGUCCGGGGGCCAAACUCUGAAGUCAAGCUUAUUCGGGGCCCUCACCUUUCUUAAGCGCCCCAGUGUUCCCAAGAUGGCUUCCACUGGCCUGCCCUCUGGAUCCAGACCUUUCUCUCUCAUUCUCUGCCUUCAAAAGAUACCUGUUCUGAGGUAAACUUCACCUGUUUUUUCCCUUUCUCCUUCUCAGCUUCUGCCUCUCUCUCUGAAAAAAAAAAAAAAAAAAAAAUCUGUGCUGAGGCUUUAGCGAGUGAUAACGAAUUAAUUAGUAAACUUUCUCAAAUAAAAUAUUUACAUUUUUGAAAGGAGCCAAAGCAAAGGUAGAAUUUCAAAGGAAGCUCCUAAAAUCGCCUUCCGGCCACCCGUGUGUCCCCCAGAACGGACCCAUCACCGUGACAUCAAGUCAGUGGGGACCCCCACUCUAUGCCUGGCGCCCUGAAGCUCCCAUGUUGAUGACCCCCAGAGAAGGUCUGAAGGUCUGAAGGUCUGAAGGUCUUUUCUUCGCAAAGGAAUUUGCCACCUGUUUGUGGCGGUCUCUGAAUUCUGUCGGGCGGCUUCUUCAACAAAAGCACGCGUGGUUCCUCAAUAGCCUGGGUUGCCUCUCUAAAGAUAUUCCUGAUUAAAAUCACACUUGUGCCAUGCACUGUGAUAAGGAUACAAAAAUAGAAGACGACAUUUUGGAAGUGGGUACUGGGGACGGUUGCACAACAUCGUGAAUGGAAUUAAUGCCGCUGCGUGAUAGAUUUUAAAAUGGCUAAACUGGAAACGUUGGUUACGUGUAUUCUACUGCAAUGAUACAAAUGUUUUACCAAAAAAAACCCCCACAACCCAAAACAACCACACUGAGUAAGAUAGUCCUGGUCCUCGGGUUCCUCAGGGUCUAGUUGGGAGGACCAAAACGUGCAAACAAAGGUGUGAUUGGUGAGAAGGUAGGAUAUAAAAAGGGAUGCAAAGGAGGAGGCUGUGAAUGAAAUGUAACCUUUUAUUUGCUUUUGUGCGUUCUGUGUUUUAGUGGAGGUGUUAGGGGAGCCCGCUAGACCCGAGGCUUCCGUGAUGAGCAAUGCUACUCCAGAAGCCAAAGGCGUAGGCUCCCCUCAAAUGCUGGAUUCCGCAACAACGCGGGUACUAACAUUGGACCAGUGGGAGAAACUGUGCCUAGUGGAGUGCUAAGUCCAGUUGUCGUCUCCACUGUCAUGAACUCCUCCUACCCAGGGCCCGGAAAGGAUGAGACCGGAGAGGCACGUAGGGUGUGAAAUUGAAGGAGCCACUUAUGCUCAUGGUCAAGUGCCGACACGGGAAGCAGCGACCUCCGUAACAUGUCCACGUGUCCACAGACCCAUGGAUCUUGUACAUCUUUGCAUCUCCUAAGACCAAUAUCAAGUGGAGCACAGAGACAGCACACAGCAAAUGGUAGCAUGCUUUGGCAAGCAUUUCAAAAAUAAAUGAAUUUAUUUAUUCCA